CUGCUUUUUUAAAUUGGGUCAUACUAGUGAUUGAUGUUGCUUUAAAAUAUCAAAUCAGACCAAGAAACACUUAUUUAGUAAGCAAGCUUCUGCACCUCCAAAAUCCUCAAGAGAAGAAGAAACUGAUAGCGAUCAAAGCCAAGCUUCCAGGACAAGAAUAAUUCUCACUCCAAUUCAAGAUAUUUCUGGGAGAGUAGCGUGUUCACAUGACAGUGGUUGUGCCCCAGAAUCUCCUUCCAUGCUGGUAACAACUGGGAGAUGAAGGUGUUGAAGGUGAUGAGAAGAAAGUCCCGACUAUGCGUGGACUGGAAGUCUGACUCUGCGAGUGUGAGGAGAUGCCAGAGCCCGGGCAGUGCUGCUGGAGCCCCAAGGAUGCAGGAGACCAGGUACUGUGCUCACACCCCAGGGGACCCCCUCCCCACGCUCAUCCACAGCUUCCUUUCCUGGUGGAGUAGAAAGCAGGAAUCGAUGGACCCCAAGAAUGGCAGAGGGGACAAGAGGGCAGCCUCGUUAUAAGUGGUGGGUACAGAAGGGGGUACCGGCCAUAGGACUCAGCGCCAACCAGCUGUGGCCACCACCGGCUCAGCUCCACACACGGCCCCACCCCUCCCCGCUUCCCCAGCCUCCAAGACAGGUUCGUCUACAGAUGGUCUCACCUCCUCCCCCACUCCAGUGACCAGUGGAAGAAGGAAGGCAGGCCACAGCCAUGUCAGUGACAGAAAGCCACCUGACAAAGGAGGAGGACAGAGCGUCAGCGUGAGAGUCAGGGCUCCGGAAAGCAUGUGCCAUCAGAGGAGCAGUGGGUCAUAGGACAACACAAUACAAGACAGAGGCCGUCCUGGGAUGUUCCCCAAAGGUAUGUCCUUCCAGGAACCUCAGAAUGUGAACUUAAUGGAAAUGGAGUCACCGUGGAUACAAUUGUUGACAUUAAGCUGAGCUCAUACUGGACAAAGGUGGGCCUUGGGUCCCAUAGGACUGAUGUCCUUGCAGGGAGAGGAGGGAGACCCAGGCCGCAGGAACUGGCAGGUGUAAUACACCAGGGGUACGGAGGAAGGCUGGAAGACGCAAGGAAGGGGCCUCCCCUGGGGACCUAGAAGGGACGCUGGUCCUGCCAGCACCCCCAUUUUGGACACCUAGCCUUCUGAACAUUAAGACCACACAGUUCUGGUGCUUUCACCGCUGUCCCAGGGCACGGAUACAGGGGACACCAAGUCUCUCUAUUGGUUCCAGAAAGGUGCUGGGAGAGCUGGCAACCCUCUGACUAUUUUUGGCUGCUAAACUGUAUUUCUUUGUAUGUGAAGCCGAGCAAGCCUGAGCCAUGUGGGGCCCUGGCUUAUAUUUGGAUUAAAAUGUGAUGGAGCUAAUGUCUAUUUCACAGGAUCAUUGUGAGGACUACAUGACACAGUCUGGGUAGCAUAUGUCAGGGUGCCUGGCACACAGGACAAUUACCAGCAGCAUGCCAUAGGUUUUCUAUUGAUUAUUGGCAGAAAAUAG
rnacentral:lncRNA from 1 species